GGAAGCUGAAGGAACACCCAGGAGCCCCGUGCUCGGGGUGCAUCGGGGGCAUGUUCAGCAGUGGCAUAAGACCAUGGAAAUUGCCCAAAGCAAGGGUCUCCUCGGCCUUCCUCCAGCAUGACCAGGGUUGCAGCUGCUCAGCACCCAGGAGGAGUUAGACUGUCAUUUGUCUCCUGCUGGCCAUUCUGAAAGUUCACUGCGGUGUCAAUCUGAAUAAGAAACACCCAGCCGGACCAGGGAUUUAGCUCAGUGAUUCUGCACAGUUCUGGCUGUGUCUGGAUGACAGACUCACUGAAGACAGAAGACCAUCCUGAGUGUGGGCGGCACCAACCAAUGGCCUUGUAGCAGGAUGGAAUGAACAGGAAAGGAGGAGGAAGUCUCGCUUGUGCUUCUUCAGAGGCGCUCAGGUCUUUGCCAUCACCUCUGGCCAUCAGUCUCCAGGCUUCCAGGGCAGACCCCUCAGCCUCACAGUGCAGACCCUCUGGCUUCCAGAUACAGACUCCCACGGGACUGCAGUGCAUCCCAGGCCUUUGAUUUUGGCCGAAUCCUCUGGCUCUCCCCUGGCAGAUGAAGGGAAGCACCCCUGCCUUGCGGGCCAGCAGUGUAGGCCUCUUAGGGCAGCAUAAACAUGAAUGUACCACCUAAUGAUCCAAUUCGCCAGGGUAAUGGACCCUAGGUUCCUAAUCAUCACAACUGAAAGCACAUACUGAUAGUUUCUCUGGCUACGAAAGCUAUUUCCAGGCCAACGGAAUUGGGAAUGGGAAGAGGCAACACUGGGUUCCAAGAGGGAAGAUCGGUACGUCCGCUUUGUCUUGUCUGUGUCCCAUGUGGAGGGCGGGUUCAGGAGAGGGUUCGAUGGCCCAGGACAGUGCCCUUCAACAUCCCCUAUCUUCUCUGGUCACGUUCACACCACAGUGUGGGUACAGAGGGCGCAGUGACAUCUCGGGACGGAGAAGCGUGCUCUUCGGACAACAUGGAGAACAUCGUUCCUCAGUUUGUGGCUGUUCCUGUGACUCUCCCCAUUCCUGGAGACCGGCCGUGCCAUCGUACCAGCCCUGGCUGCUUCCCACCCCGUGACUCUCCAGGGCCUCCUGGCCCCCAGCACAUACCGCCCUCCAGAGCCUCCAGGAGUCUGGGAUGGCAGCAGGGGAGCUUCCUUCCGGGUGCUGGGACCAGCUGAGCUUCUCUGCCCUAGGAGCUUGGGAUGGAGGUGAGGAGCUUCCUUCUGGGUGCUGGGACCAGCUCAGCUUCUCUGCCCUCUAUUCAGAAAACAUUCUGAGUAUAACCUCAAUCCAGACACUUUCCUAAGGCAUGCACCAGUCAAGGUUCCUCCUAUGGAGGAAGGGUUACAAUUUAGUGGGGUAAACGCUGCAGUGAAAGUGAGCAGAGUGUGCUGUUGUUUCUAGAACACAGAAAAAGCUUUUCUAAGACUAUAGUUUGCUAGGAACAUUCCCAGAAAGAGUUUAAUUUGAGCCUUUAGGGUUAAGUAGGACAUGACAAGUGAUGGGUGUCAGACAGGAAAGAACCUGCUGAUCAUAACAUGCCGAGCCCAACAUUGCCUCUUCCUCGGUGUGCAUGUCUUGGGCAGAGGGUCUCCAGGACCAGCAGGACUCUUGGGGACUCCAGGUGCUGCUGAGAAGUGCUCACCUCCACGAAGUCUGCCUUCGUCCUGAAGCUAAGCGAAGCUCUCCCCACACCUGCCCAGUCCUCUGUCAUUAAGGAAUCUCCAUGCAACACACAAGGCAUGUUAGCCUGGCAUUGGAGAGCUCCAGAGCCACUGGAGGUGGCUGCGCCAACCCUGGUAUGUACAACUUCGGUUCGACACUGAGCUGUUUAGACCUUCGUGGAAAUAAAACUCAGGCGGAAUGGCAUCCAGACUGGAGAGAAGCAAGCUCAAGCCAAAGACACCUACAAGGAUGCUUCAGGGACUGUCCUUGCCAAAGAGGGGCAAGAACUGCCCAGAAGCUGUCCAGAAUAAACUAAAU
rnacentral:lncRNA from 1 species